AGUGAACGCUGGCGGUAGGCCUAACACAUGCAAGUCGAACGGCAGCACAGUAAGAGCUUGCUCUUACGGGUGGCGAGUGGCGGACGGGUGAGGAAUACAUCGGAAUCUACUUUUUCGUGGGGGAUAACGUAGGGAAACUUACGCUAAUACCGCAUACGACCUACGGGUGAAAGCAGGGGAUCUUCGUACCUUGCGCGAUUGACUGAGCCGAUGUCGGAUUAGCUAGUUGGCGGGGUAAAGGCCCACCAAGGCGACGAUCCGUAGCUGGUCUGAGAGGAUGAUCAGCCACACUGGAACUGAGACACGGUCCAGACUCCUACGGGAGGCAGCAGUGGGGAAUAUUGGACAAUGGGCGCAAGCCUGAUCCAGCCAUACCGCGUGGGUGAAGAAGGCCUUCGGGUUGUAAAGCCCUUUUGUUGGGAAAGAAAAGCAGCAGGUUAAUACCCCGCUGUUCUGACGGUACCCAAAGAAUAAGCACCGGCUAACUUCGUG
rnacentral:rRNA from 1 species